CGAGGACCCUGGACGCCAGUCGGGGCCGGCCCGGAGCAGUGCGGGAAAACACAAAGUCGUGAGGGAAGGAGAGGAUCACCGGAGCUGCCUGAGGCAGCCUCCUGGCCGAAGAACGGCAUCUGCCCGGAGCCGGGAGCAGCCAGCGGGAUGCGCCUCCUCUUCCGCAGGAGCCCAGGCUAAGAUGGAUGAAAGGUGGAGAGUGACAAGUGGGAGUCCCAUGUCUGGAUCCGCUCUUGGAUUCCUGGUGGGUCUGUGCUGCCCAAAGUACAGAGGUUGGAGAUGUUGGAGUUCCUGUUUGUUCACCUGCUGAGCUUGGAAGAGACUCUGAGUGUGAAGUUCCAGGGAAGCUGUGCUUGCUGUAGGACUGGAGAGAGAAGCAGUGGCAGCUGUGCUGCUUUCCCGCCUUAACUUCGGUUCUCUGGCACUCCAGCAAUGAGGCACAAAUUGCAGUGAUGGGAAGAGGCUGGAAGAAGCUGGAUUUCACAGUGGAGGCCGUGAAUUAUGCACCAGAGAAGGAGCUGCUGAACAUUAAAGGCAUCAGUGAAAAGUGAAACCAAAGCUGACAAAACCCCAGUCUGUCCAGGAUGUUCUGGAACUUUAACCCAAGAUAUUCCACAGGUUAGUCUCUGCUGGCUGAAAGGAUUGUGGUGAAUUUGGAAGGGCAGUAAAGCUGAUUGGAGUUGUGACAUGACUUGUGAUGGGAAAAGGAAAAAUGCACCAGGACAGGACUGAACUGAUGGGAAGGAUAUUUCCAUAAAACACACAAAAGGGACGUUGGAGCUUUUUCUUGGAGCAGAAUUUCAGUUCUGUGCGGAGAUAUCAACUCGUGCAAGGUCUGUGAAAUGUGCAUGGAAUGAUACAAGGCAGGAAAUAUUAAUUACUGGGGGUUAAUGAAUGGCAUGAGCUCUCCUGGCACUUCUUACUUGGGUUUUCUCUCAGGCUGAGGCAGCCAAACUGUUCCCAUGGGCUUCACCACGGCCACAGAAUUCCACCAGCAAUGGUCAGAGAUAAUCCAGAUCACCACUGGCUCCAAAGGGCUGGGCAAGCUGCUUCAAGGUGUUCUGUUUGCUCUCUGCUGGGGAGGUUCUUUGUUUGCCAGGUGCUUUCUGAAGUUUGAGGAUCAGCAGAGCUCUGGAGGAGUGUUGAAGGUCAACAAGGAUUCCCUGCAGUUUUAGGGAGUUCUCUGUGCCUGAGCCAGUUCUGUCCCACCGACCCCUGAGAGUGGCAGCACACAGUGCUGAUGUGGCUUUGUUGGUAUCAGCACUAAAUUCCUUCAUGGCAUCUGCUGUCACCACAAGGAGAGACUGGUCUGCUUGAAUAGAGGUGAGGGUGUCAUUCUUCAGCAAGUUUGUGAAUUGAGUGGAGUGCAGAAAGAGGGAAGGCACAGAGAGAGAACAUCAGCAGUGGUGACAGAGUGGCCCCCAAGUGCUACUUUGCCAAUUGUACCUCAGUGUGGCAAUAUCACAUCUUGCUGGUGGUUUCCAAGAAUGGCUAGAACACUUAUUUGUAUUCCCAGAGCACAGGAAACCCCUUAAGAAUUGCUUCUGUGCCAGCUGGUCUGACAAAUAGGUAUGUGGAGGAACACUUACACUUGUGUGCUCAGAAACAAACACCUGGGAAGUGCAGCCUGCUGUGCAUUAGGAGCCCUCUAAGUAACUGCAAAUGAGAGCAAUUCACUGCCAGAGUAUGAUGUUGGGGGUUUGCAAAUCGAAAACCAAGAGGUCUUACUUCAUACUAACCAGAACAAGCUCCAAUUUGAUUUGAUAUGAAGAGAAGAUGAUUUCAUGAUGAGGACAAUCAGAUAUUGGAGCAGUUUGCUCACAGCAAUUGUGGUUGUCAGCAACCCUCAGCAACCUGUUUCAAGUUCAGUGUUGAACAAGAGAUGGGACUCAGCACAUCUGAAGGCCCUUCCUCCCUGAUUGAUCCUGUGCUAAUUCCCCAUUUUCUGCACAGCCAUUCUGAAUUGGAGGGGUUCUUCCUGUAUUAUUUGGUGGAUACACCUUUUUUGGGCACAAGGAUUGCUCUGUGAGCUGAUGAAGUGCAGGCAAAGUGACUUUCUCCUACUCUCCACCAAAGUCUUGGGCUCCUGCAGCUGGCCAGACAGCCGUGCCAGGGCAUAUAAAUACAAAGGAGAACCAUUUGGUAUUAUCUCCUGAGAACGGUCUGUUCUUUGGCUGAUUUGAUAACCAGAAAUUGGCACUUGCAUUUGCAUCUGGCUGGAGUUGUGUGGUAUUACAGCUUCAGUGCACACCUACUUUUUCAAAAAGCUCCAAGAAAUUUGCUGCCAUUUCAAAUACUUAAAACUUUUAUUUCUGUAAAAUUCCAUGAGUGCUGUUCGGCAGUUAUUAUCAAGCCUUUUUCCUCGUUUGGUUUCUCUCCAUGGUGCUGCUGAGAAAUGGUGGAAUACAGGUACAAUCCCAGGCUUGGAGAUUUCGUGUGUCAAGAUGAUCUAGCUGAGGUAAACAGUGACUUGGAUGUUCAAAGAGCUCUUGCUAAUGUCCCUCAUAAAAGCUGAGGUGAACUGCUAUAAAAUAAAUGAACAUUCAAUCAGUUACUGACUGCAGUAAUAAAAAGUGUGAGGAUACCUGUGCAUCCUCCAGAGGGA